AAGAAAUUAACGAAGAUUUCCUUAGUAACGGCGAGUGAAAAGGAAAUAGUUCAGCGCCGAAUCCCUUAGCCCAUGGUUAAGGGACCUGUGGCGUGAAGGAGAGCCUAUCUGUCGAGUUAUAAGCUUCGGAAUAUUCCUCGAAUGGGAACCCAAAGCAGGUGCGAGGCCUGUAACGAGGCGAUACUCGUCAGUUUGCGCCUCCGUAGAGUCGGGUUACUUGAGAGUGUAGCCCAAAGUGGAAGGUAAACCCCUUCUAAAACUAAAUAUUACCACGAGACCGAUAGCGAACAAGUACCGCGAGGGAAAGUUGAAAAGAACUUUGAAGAGAGAGUUCAAAAGGGCGUGAAACCGCUUAGAAGAAAACGGACGGAGCCGUCAGGGACCUUCGGGAAUCAGUCGUACGAUACACGAAUAUAUCGCGCGUUCGGAACGCAAGUCCGACCGCGGUAGCAAGAAGUAGUGUUCGUUCGGCGCAUUUCUCGAAGGUAAGCACUGCGACCGAUACGAAAGGCCAGCGAAGCGAUCGGAUUGAGGGCGAGACCUUUCGCGAGGUUCUCGUAACCAGACCGGUCGUGUUUAGUCGUUGGACCGCAGUAUGUAUCGAGCGCCAGAGAAAUAUAUACGCCGGCGUAAACGCUCGCUCGAAUAGUGGACAGUCGGUCAAUGAUGGUUGGUACCUGCUCGCAGGUGCCGGCCGAUUCGAUCGGCUUCGAAGCUGUCGGCGACAUUCCGGCGUAUAGGUGUCCGCAGUGUCAGCGUCGGUCACCCGUCCGACCCGUCUUGAAACACGGACCAAGGAGUCUAACAUAUGCGCGAGCCAAUGGGUGGAAAAUCCAAAGGCGCAAUAAAGUAAAGGCCGUUUCGGACGGCUAAGGUACGAUCCUGGAUCCACGCGAUCCAGGCGCAGUACCGUCCCGUCCCGACCGCAUAUCGGUAGGGCGGAGACAGAGUGCAUACGUUGGGACCCGAAAGAUGGUGAACUAUGCCUGAGCAGAACGAAGCCAGAGGAAACUCUGGUGGAGGUUCGUAGCGGUUCUGACGUGCAAAUCGAUCGUCAGACUUGGGUAUAGGGGCGAAAGACUAAUCGAACCAUC
rnacentral:rRNA from 1 species